UACGUAGGGGGCAAGCGUUGUCCGGAUUUACUGGGCGUAAAGAGCGCGUAGGCGGAAUGGUAAGCGGGGCCGGAAAGCCCCCGGCUCAACCGGGGAAGGGGCCGCGAACGGCCAUUCUUGAGGGGGAGAGGGGAGAGCGGAAUUCCUGGUGUAGCGGUGAAAUGCGUAGAGAUCAGGAGGAACACCAAUGGCGAAGGCAGCUCUCUGGCUUCACCCUGACGCUGAGGCGCGAAAGCGUGGGGAGCGAACGGG
rnacentral:rRNA from 1 species